UGGCGGCGAUAGCGCGGUGGUCCCACCUGACCCCAUGCCGAACUCAGAAGUGAAACGCCGUAGCGCCGAUGGUAGUGUGGGGU
rnacentral:rRNA from 1 species